GAGGGGUUGCGCUCCGGCGUGGCUCCUUUGAAACCUUGACCCACGUUUCACUACAAACACGAUGUAUCAGAAUGUCUAUUGCGAUGUUAACGCAUUUAUAUACAACUUUCAGCAACGGAUCUCUUGGCUCUCGCAUCGAUGAAGAACGCAGCGAAAUGCGAUAAGUAAUGUGAAUUGCAGAAUUCAGUGAAUCAUCGAAUCUUUGAACGCACCUUGCGCUCCUUGGCAUUCCGAGGAGCACGCCUGUUUGAGUGUCAUGAAAUUCUCAACCUGCGAGAUCCUUGUGGUCUUCGUAAGGCUUGGACUUUGGAGGCUUUUGUCGGCGAUUGUCGACUCCUCUCAAAUGCAUUAGCUUGGUUCCUUGCGGAUCGGCUUUCGGUGUGAUAGUUGUCUACGCCGUGACCGUGAAGCGUUUUGGCGAGCUUCUAACCGUCUCGUUCGAGACUUAUUCUUCAUUGACAUC
rnacentral:rRNA from 1 species